rnacentral:lncRNA from 1 species
GAGAGAAGCAGCAAAACUGCAAGCUGCACAGAAAAAUAUAAGAGAUGGACAGCGCAGGGAGAGACUGGCGGGGAAGCACAGCAAUACAAAAGAAAAGCUCCAGAGAGCAAGGCAGCAAGAAAAUUAGAGGCUUCACUCCAUUUCUCUCGGUUAAAUCUUUCCAAACUUAUAUUUUAUUUCUGUUUUAAUAAUGUGUAACUAAUUUUAUUUUGGCUAGAGGUUAUUUCAAAACCAUGAAUAUAUUUGUAAUAUGAAUUGAUUACCUUCGGUUGUGAUUUCAUAAGUUGUGAAUUCAAUUUACUUAUCCGUUUGUAUAAAAACUGAUUUGUGUAUGUUGGUUGAGAGUGCACGCUUAAUUUACAUGCAUGAAUUUGAUGCUAGAAUAUAAGUGAAUUUCACCUAAUCGUUAUGAACUUAUAUUCACAAGUAGUAAAGGUUGCUAGUCACAAUCACGUUAAGUAAAUUCUUGGCAUAAGUUUCAUGCAAAUCAUAGUAACGAGUGCCUCGUCAAUGCUUAUGUUUUUCAUAGAACUUAAUGAUUCUUGCUUGUAUCUCUAUUAUGCAAUUCAUGUAGAGAACUUGUAGGGAAUGUUUUGGGUUGUCGUAUGCAAUCAUCCAACCCAAUAACUUGUGGAAAAACUGAGGGUUAAUUAGUGCAAUUCACGGUUAAUUUGGGGCGUUGAGAUUUACAAUUUAUUGAAAGAACAACUGAAAAUCAAUUUAGGUUGCAUAGUGUCAUGUGUGGAGAAAAACCCUCUAGCUAGUCCGUCAUUUAUCAUUUCACCUUAAUUUCAUGUUUUUGUCAAUUCUGUAAUUUAAUUAAGUUUAAUUUACUUUUCAUCAAAACCAAACACCCAUCCAUUAUUAAAUUAUAUUUUUUAGUUAGUUUUCUUUAUUGUUAGUCUUUUAAUUUAAUUUCCGUCCAUUUCAGUUCCUAGUUUUAAUUUAAUUGUUUUCAUUAUUUUGAGUCAUUUUAAGUGUGUUUCGAGUUAUUAGAGUUUUUAGCCUAAUUUUGUGUCCUUGAGUCUUAUUUAAUAUUUUUAAAUUAAUUUAGAAUAGAUUAGCAAUCCCUCCUAAUCCCCGGCCUAGAACGAUACCCUACUUACAUCUAUACUACAAUUGUCAAAAAGAGGGUUUAAUUUGUGUGUUAACUUAUUUUUCACAUCAAAUUUUGGCGCCGUUGCCGGGGAUUAGCAACUUUGCUAAUCCUUUUAUUUUUGUUUUUGUUUAUGUUUAUAUUGGUGUUUGUGUAUUUUACUUUUGAUAUUUGAUUUAUUUUUCUUUCUUUGAUUUUAGGUUCAAAUGGAGCUGAGGGAAAUUUAAAGGAAAGAUGCGUCCGGCUAAAGACGUUAAAUCAAGCGCUUCUUGGGAGGCAACCCAAGCAUUCAACGAAGGGAGACUUUGGAAUCACUAACCCAAUCAGCUUUGCAUUCUUCCACCCUUAUCUUUAUUGCUUUCAUUUUGUUUUGUUUAGUUAGUUGUGUUAUUUGGUUGAUUUCUGUGAGUUUGUGUUAUUUAGUUUAAGUGUGGGGGAAGGUUAACCAAAGUCUCUUUACAUUAAUUUACAUUUAUAAAAAAUAAAAAAAAAUAAUUAAAAAAAAAGAUAAAAUUUAAAAUUAAUGAUAAAAAAAAAAAAAAAAACAAUUAAAAAAUCAAAAAAAAAAAAAAAACAUAAAAUAAAAAAAAAAAAAAAAUUAAAAUUAAAAUUUUACAAUGAUGUAAACUAAUAGUAUUCAUUGGUCGGGUGGUGCUUCAGUAGUAGGCGGGGCUUUAGCAGUCGGCGGGGCCACAGAAGUAGGAGGCGGCAGAGGUUGAUCAGUUGGAGCUUCACUACGCGGUGCCGCUCCAGAAGACGAAGGCAGAUGUUGUUGGAACAAUCCCACAAACCUCCGAUGAUCAAGUAAAAUUUGACCAUCGGUGUCCUGCAUCUGGUCAAUCUUCCUCUUCAUACUGGUGGCAUAGCUGUGUGCGAGCUUGUGCAAUUCCUUAUUCUCAUGCUUGAGCCCUUUAAUCUCUUGCUUGAGACUCUGUAUUUCAGCCACCAAGGAUUCAACGUGACGGGUUCGGGCAUAUAGGCGUUGGGCCAUGUUGGAUACGGAACUCGCACACUGCACACUGAGAGCCAGAGACUCCUUAACCGCCAAUUCAUCAGACCGUCUAGCGAGCAGUCUGUUAUCUCUGGGAGUGACAAGGUUUCGGGCCACCACCGCAGCUGUCAUAUCAUUUUUUAUCACCGAAUCCCCCACGGUAAGGGGACCGGUAGAGGAUAUGAAGGAUGGCCGCCAUAUGUUGUCUGGUGAAGGCGGAGCUGCCUCUUCACCAAUGUUCAAGUCAAAACGACGAUCAGAAGGGCCAGACAUUUUUCAGAGGUGGUAAAGAAAGAAGAGAGUCGGAAUGAUCAAGAUUAAACAAGUGCAAGAAGGGAGUGUUUACAGGAGGGUACUCAAGUGUGUUGUGGAACAAAAUUAACGCCUCUAUAAAAAGAAGAAAUCAAAGAGGCGCUCCUCAGAAAUUGAAGAGGCGUCCUUUCGCAAAUCGAAGAGUCGGGGCACCUUUCUCAAGAGCCGGAUUCUUUUUUCAAAAGAGGAGUUUCCGUUCUCAAAAGUCGGAUUCUUUUCUCAAAAGAGGCGUUCAUUUCUUAAAAGUUGGGCUUGCUCAGAAACCACGAGCCGAACCCCGGAUUUCGCAAGAUCAAUUCGUCCAGACGUGUUGUCACCCGUCACACGCAAACUCAGCUCUGCGAAAAUCACGGGCAGUCUGUCGAAGUGCCGAUUCCAACCAUCUGUCUCUCUCAGCCUAGUCAGCACUUGUCACCCAUCCACUGGCAGCUUUGCGGAAAUUACGGGCAGCUUUGUCAGAAAGCGCGUAAUUUGUAUUCUUCACCCAUCCACCGGCUGCCGACACUAAGUGAGAGAACAGUUCCGGUUGUGAAGACAAGUCCUAUAAGUUUCUACCUUCGCCUUCCACAGCAAAAGCACACUCUCUCAGCACACCCUCUCAACACCUCUCUUCAUCUCCGAAAAUGCAUUCCCAAAGAAUCCUCUCGAGUCACUCUGUGUUCCUCAUUCCUUGGGAUACUCCUGCGAAACAACCCAUUCAAAGCAAAAGUAUUUCAUAUCAUAAAGGUUGAAAGCAAGAGUAUCUCAUAUCAUGCUUUCUCCAUGUCCUUCUCCUUGUCUUUGUUUUCCGACAAGGAGAAAGAGAGCAAUCAGCCAGCAUUUGGUAUCAAUCUUCCGAUCUGGAGCCAACUGCCUGGAACCCCUUCCUGAUUGCUUACCUAGCCUUGCUCUCGAGUACUCAUCUUCAUCAUUUUAUGCUUUCUCUUCGUCUACCACAUCUGCCUGGGGGACAGUAAGGGAAGUGAAAAUGAUACCUCGAAGCAUGUGGAGACAAUUCAGCUAGGGACAAGGAGAAAGAAAGCAAGAGGUGGGCACUUGGAAAGAUUGAAGAAAGAAAUAAGGACCAACACCUUUCCCUCGUGCCUGCCCGUUGUGCAGAAGAAACAAGCAGAGAAGAAUGCAGCUUGCACAAUCAUCCCAGCGGAAGGAGUCCGAACUGAGGAACUAGAGAAGCUGCCACAUCUGCUUGGAGAACAAAUAAGGAACUGCAACAUAACCAAAGAGCAAAGCUUCGCCGUACAAUAUCAUAAAAUCAUCACUUGCAAGUGAAAAGCUAAGUGUGUCACCCUGUUCAAGAGGAAAGCUGUGGAAAGUCAACAAGCACGACCAAUGAUUACUUAUUAGUUUUAUUCAUUAUCUUUUAUCGUAAUUUUCAAUUUUUCGUUUGCAAUUUUUUUUAAUUAAUUUUCUUGCGUUACUUAACUGAAUUAUUUCUUUUCUUUGCAGGAACUUUUGGUUAUUUCCACCCUUGAAGUUGAUUGCAGAAUUUUAGCUUGAGGGUCAUCGCUUGAUUUUACUGCAAAUUAGGGAAGUUUUCAGUCCCAUUGUUUUAUUUUGUUUCUUAUUAUUUAUUUAUUUAUUUUAUUUUUAUUUGCGUUAUAGUGUUUUCUGACAUUGGGGACAAUGUCAAGUUUAAGUGUGGGGGUAGAAAUCUCUCUAGAAUUUCAUUUGUUUCUGUGUUUGUUAGUUUUUUUGUUUUCUUAAAAAAAAAAAAAAAAAAAUCGGAAAAUUUAAAAAAUCCAAAAAUAUUGUCUUGUUUCCCUUAUUGUUUUGAAUUAGAUUUUUGUUAGUUUCCCGACCCAAUGAUAUAAUUGGAUCAAGAACUUAGUUAACAUGUAUUUUGUGAAAUUCCUAAUUCUCUUGUUAGUUUUGUACAUGUUUGACCAUCUUUGAAAAACCAAAUGCACAUAGCCUUGUUGAUGUGAAACUAAAGUAUGAAUUAAAGCUUCAUAUGUAAAUUUAGUGACCAUAUAUAAUUCCUAUGUGAGUUUUUGAGCCUAUUGAAAGUGUGUGCAUUUUUUAUACACUCAUAUUCUUUCAUGUGUGAUGAACUUAUGUGAGAUACAUCUCUAGAACUUGCGUAACGAUCUUUCGAAAUGUUUGUCAUUGAUUGCAUGAACUUGGAAAUGAUAGAGGCAUUAGGUUUACCACUAUGGCCCAAAUAACCAUGUUUCCCAAAGAAAAAUGAUAUCAUUAGAUUGCCAAUUUGAGCCAUGUAUGUUGAGCCUUUUAUUUCUUGUCACCAGAUAUGUCUACCCUUAUACCUGAAACAUUUUUCCUUACCCUUUCCAAGCAAGCUAGUGAGCAAUGUGAGAUUGUUUUAUGAGAAACAUUUGUGAAGUACUGUGAAGAUGUUUAGCAAAAGAUUAAGUGUGGGGGUAUUUCAUGUUUGUAUUAAAAAAAAAAAAAAAAAAAAAAAAAAAAAAAAAAAAGAAAAGAAAAAGAAAAAGAAAGAUUGUAUACGAAGAAAAAAAAUAAAAAAUAAAAAGUUUUUUUUUAAAAGUUUCAGUUUAAGGGUAUGGUUGGAGGUGCUAGAAGAAUCGCUGAAAAAAAUUGAGUUCUUAUAAAUCUAAACAAAAGAAUUGCUUGCAAUAUAGCUUGGAACUUGUGUUUUCCUAUUCUUUCAUUUCAAUAACCCUAUCCCUAAGCCUCAUUACAUCCAAUAAAAGUCCUCUUGAUUUAAGUUUUGCAAUUAUGACUGUGGAGAAGUGAUCUUUAUGCAAGCUUAUGGUAGAAAUUUCACAUUUGUUUCUUUGAGCGAAACACAUUAAAACUAAACACAUGUGUGAUUGAGUGCAUAUCCCGUGAGAAGGUCACUAGUUUGCAUAUGAUGAUUUUAAAAAUAAAAACUUGAAAUUGCAUUAGCAUGGCUAUCUCACACACUACACUUCAAGGAUGAUUUGAAGACUACUGCUAAUAUUUGAAUAAGGAAGAUGAACUUGGAUUAGUUCCUUGAUGCUAGCUAUGGUUCUUGAUGAUUUAUUUUCUUAAAUGAAAUUCUAUGAGGGUCAGAUAGGGAGAAACUAAUGUUUUUCUUGUUAAUUCUUGUUCUUGUUUUCUUUGUUUUGCUCGAGGACUAGCAAAAGUUAAGUGUGGGGGUAUUUGAUCGGAUGAUAUUUAUAUAUAUUUUUACUUCGAAUUACUCGUCUUUUCUUAGUUAGUUCCUUAUAUUUUUGAGCUAUUUACGUUAUUUUUGUGUUUACAGGAUUUGUUAUGUUUUGUAGAAAAAUAAAGAAAAGAAAAGAAAAAAAUAAAAAAAAUAAAAGAUAGAAAGGAAAUUGGGGGAGACGGGCUGCCUGUGGGCAGCUUUGAAAAGCUUUGAAGAAAAAAAAAAAAGAAAACAAAAAUAUAAAAAAGAAAGGAACAGCGGCAAAAGGAGUGAAAAACGUGGGAUUGGACCAGAAGACAGCUAGGGAAGACUGGUGGGCAGCGGGAUCCAAGGAAAUAAGAGAAUAAGGGAAUAAAAAAAGGGACGGACAGCAGUAGUGUGGAGAAAAGAAAAAUAAUAAAGAAUAGAGAGAAGUGGGAGGGCAGGCGAAUAGUAUGGCAGAGAUGCUGCCUUUGGCAGCGUAAAACGUAAAGAAGAAAAGGGGGACAGCGCACAAGAAGAAAGGAAAAAGCUGCCCUUGGGCAGCUGAAAGAGUCAGGAGAGGGAGAAAUAAUAUAGAAGAAGAGGGCGAGAGGCAUUAGCCUCGUGGAAGGGGAUUGGUGGACGGAAGAGGCGCUGCCUUUGGGCAGCUCGCAGAGAGCGCAGGAGGCGCAGAAAAACAGGGGAGGAUUGACGCGAAAAGGAACGCUGCCUUGGCAGCGUGGCAGAGGUCAGACGGGAGUGAGAGAAGCAGCAAAACUGCAAGCUGCACAGAAAAAUAUAAGAGAUGGACAGCGCAGGGAGAGACUGGCGGGGAAGCACAGCAAUACAAAAGAAAAGCUCCAGAGAGCAAGGCAGCAAGAAAAUUAGAGGCUUCACUCCAUUUCUCUCGGUUAAAUCUUUCCAAACUUAUAUUUUAUUUCUGUUUUAAUAAUGUGUAACUAAUUUUAUUUUGGCUAGAGGUUAUUUCAUAACCAUGAAUAUAUUUGUAAUAUGAAUUGAUUACCUUCGGUUGUGAUUUCAUAAGUUGUGAAUUCAAUUUACUUAUCCGUUUGUAUAAAAACUGAUUUGUGUAUGUUGGUUGAGAGUGCACGCUUAAUUUACAUGCAUGAAUUUGAUGCUAGAAUAUAAGUGAAUUUCAC